CACUAAAGUGGAACACUAAAAAGAGACAGCCUAUCAUCACGGGUGAAAGCAGAGGUCUCACAGACACUGGAGCUCUAUUCCAGAACAUUGUCAUUAUUCAACUCAUCUCCUGGAACUCUGGAAGUUCCCACAUACACAGCUGUUUGUAGCAACCUGACUCUGAGCUUGGCCAGUGUAAAUGCCAUAUGUUGAAGACAACUAGAGAGUGCCUUGCAGACUCAGAAAUAUCAAGGACCAUGGCAUGCAUAUAUUCUACUGGAUGAUCUGGAUGGAGCCAAUGUAAUCACCGAGGGCAUGGGAAAGGGCAGAUGUGAUGGCUGAGGUUUAAUUGAUGUGACAAAGGACUCACAAGCCAAAGGAUUCUGGCAGCCUCUACAAGAUGAAAAAAUCACGGAAAUGGAAUCUUCCCUAGAGCCUCCAAAGGAAUCAUACACACUGGUAGAAUCAUCUUAAUCCAAGGGAGAUGACACUGGACCUUUGAACCCCAGAAUUAUAAGACUUUUAAUCUCUAUUGUUUUGAGUCAUUAUAUUUGUGGUAAUUUGUUAAGGCAGUAGUGGUAACUAAUACAAAUAUGAACUAUCUCAUAGGUUUAUGAGAAAGUAUAAGUAAAAAAAGAAAAAGAAAAGCAUGCAAAGUGCAAACGCAGAGUAAGGGGAAUUAGAAGAUAAAUGAUGGAGGGUAGUGGUGAAAGGAAGAUUACAAAUUUUAGUAAGAUAUUAAUAGUAGACAUUGAGAAAUUGACUUUCUGAAUAUCAGACUCCCUUUUGUUCUACACAUUUUAUCACUACUUGAUUAAUAUAUUUUCAUUUACCAAUAAAGAGUGAUAAAAAUGGAUAAAAUGUAGUUUUCAUUUGCACUUUUUGUUUUUAAUCUACUUCCUUUUUUGUUGUUGUUGUUCACAAGUAGUAAUCAUAUGUAUUUGUGGGGUACAUUUUGAUAAUGUGAUACAUGUAUGCAUGGAAGGUUAAUUAAAUCAGGCUCAUUAACAUGGUCAUUAUCUCAUAUCCUUGAACUUUCUUUAUGGGGAGUAUGUUUAAUAUCUCCCAUUUUAGUUAUUAUAAAAUAUGCAAGGCAUUGUUGUUAACUAUAGUUACCAUGUUCAGCAAGAGAUCAUUAGAACUCAUUCCUCCUGUCUACAUAAAACUUUGUAUCCUUUAACCAACUUCUCUUUCCCCAUUUACUCACACUGUCACCCCUUUCUACAUUCUAGUAACCAAUACUUAUCACUAUUAUAAAUGUGUAACUUUUUUGUAUUACACAUAAAAGUAAAAAUCAUGUGGUGUUUA